ensembl:lncRNA
CAGAGAAGCAGAGGGUGUUGACUAAAUUAGAAGAAGAAAUCACAUUUCUAAUGAGUGAUGGACAGGAUUCUUGCUACAUCCUUUAGUAUAAAAACAAGUAAACUGGAAAACAUCUCUAAACUUUAGAAAUCAAACAGUCUGAUUUCAAGAGCUGCUGACAAGUUGUAAUUCCACUGAUACAAAAGGGACUGAACUUUAACUUGAAAUUUGCAAUAGCAAAAUUUGUGCCAUUUGGUAAACACCCGUGAUGAACAAAUAAGGCGGCAGCAAGUAUGGUCGCUGUACCCCACUUGAGGGAGAGGCAGUGUCCUGGUCAAAGUACAGGUGCGACCUGUAGAGGUGAGGUCCAUUUGGGGGCAGUGAUCAUAGACGAACUGAGCUGGCAAUCAGCUCCCUCAUUAGCAGCCUGGUGAAAAAGCCCAUAGGGGAAGAAAUAAAUAAAGUUGGCAUGUGUUUUAUCCUAUUGGCACAACCCAAGACACAGGUAUACUUGUAAAUGGUAUUUUCAGUAAUAACUGAAAUGUGACACAUGCAUUGUGUCAGACUGUCUGGUGUCUGUUAAUAGUGGGAGAAUUAUAAUAAAGGAGGUCAAGAGUCCAGAUGAAAACAAAGUAAUCUUUCAAAAGCACUGGUUAUGUAGAGCACUUUCUACUUUCCCAUAGAAAUUCCUCAUGAUUGAAGUCACAGUGGCCCUGCACUGGGAUUGAAGAGACCUGGUUUUGAGACUUGGUUCUGCUGGCCACUAGUCAGGAGUCCUUCAGCAAACCACUCGUGCCCUCUGUCCUGUUUCCACAUGUCCAUCCGUGGAGGGGCCAGGCAGAGCAAGUGGACAGUGUUACAGUAGCCAAAGGGGAAUUAGCUGAGCUACCAAACUACAGCCCACAACAGACAGCGGUGGGCAGAUUGAGAACACCUGAUCUUCCCAAAUUGACACUAGGAUCACAGAUGGCAUCAAUGUCUGGGUCUUAUGAAACGAUUAGGACUGUUUCACACAAUUUGGUGUGCUUAUAGGAGCUGCAUUCUUCCAAAGUCCCCAGCAAUGAUAAUACAUUGUCAGAUAUAACCUUGUUGGCCAAUAGCUUGUAGAAAGCAGACAGGGCCGUAGCAACCUAGCCAGACACGUGCAACGUGCCGAAUCAGCCCACUGCAGACAGGCAGGUCUGCGGACAGACGCCGUAGCAACAUCACCAGAUGGACGCAACGCGCCCAAUCAGCCCGCGCCCCAGCAGCAAUCCACUGAAUAUCGCCCCUCUCCUCUGUACAGCCACCUAGUUCCACACUACAAAGAUGCAGAGGACACCGGACCACCGGACCACUGUACUGGAAUUUACAGAGCCACUUGGACAAGCAUGCAAAGACAGAAGUGUUGGGACACACAGUGGUGAAAAAUUCAAGAACUGGAGACAACAGCAUGUCUGUCGAGACAAGGCAUUAUUUACUAUCUGUUAAAUAAAUCAGAUUGUAUCCCCACAAUAUAAUAAUGAACAGCCAUUCAAAUGGUGAUGUUGAUCCAUAUUUCUUGCCCAGAGAGAUAAAAAUAGAAAAUCCAAUUAAGUUAUUGUCUUUUUGCAAAUAAUCGGAUGUCAAAGAAUGAAGAAGAGAAGAAAAAGUGGAAAGGUAGCUUCCAUCCCCAAGGUGACCUCAUGGUCCAAAUGGCUCCUGGAACUCUGGACAUUAUAUCAACAUUCCAGCUAGCAGGAAGAAGAAAGAGAAGAAAGACACACUCCAUCUCCACCAAUUGCACAUACCACCUCCACUUAUGUCCCAUUGGCCAAAACUUUGUCAGCCAAGGCUGGUAAAUUGUCAGCCAAGGCUGGAAUGCCUUGUUCUCUGCUAAUAAUCAGACAUUCUCCUUCUAUGGAAGGAAGAGGCGAGAACUGAAAUUAGGAACAACUGGUGGCUUCUGCCACUGAGAUGUCCUCUGCCAUCCUGUCAUGAGCCAACCUGAGUCUCAUCAAACAUGCAGCAUCUGCUGCGACAGUGUAGGGAAGGUCACCAUGACAAUGGCUUACAACUAGCCAGGUGCUUGGGACCGGUGCAGACAAACACUGCAUGAGAAGAGAAGGGCACGGUUAGGGGCUCCUUAAUAGCACAUUUCCAUUUCUGGCACAGUCCCUGCUGUUGUCACAGGCGUGACCUAUUCUCUCCUCUGCCUAGUGGAGCUGGCCACAAACUGCAAGUUAGCAUCUUUCUCACAGCAGCAAUUUCUUAGGUCCUGCAGGCCCCACUAACUGCAGCAUCCAACCCAUCAGAAAAGCCAGCAAGGAGCAGUGAUGGAUCCUCAUUACACACCCAGGGAAAGACACAGAGGAAGCCACUCUCAAAAUACACCCUUAAGUCACUUCAUUCACCCUGUGAGGUCAUUACCACGGACUGGGAGACCACUAGAUCUGAGAGUAGAAAAGCAUGAUAGGCAAUUUUAGAGCGAAGGAAAAGGAAUGGUAAGAGGUAUAUUCUAAUGAUAACCCUAUUAACAGCUGCCAUUUAGCUAGGGGCUGUGUGACCCAUUGUGGGUGCCAGCCUCCAGCGCAGCCACUGAUGAUCCUGGCUUCCAGAAGCUGGUGCUCUUGUAGAGUCCCCUUUCAUUUUAAAUUAGGAUGGACCUCCCUGACAGACGGAAUACAGUGGAAGUGGUGAUGUGUGACUUCUGAAGCCACAUCACACAACCACUGCUACUUCUGACUCAGACGCUCUGGUGGACCACUGUGGGGGAGGCCAGUCACCAUGCUUGGAGACACUAGCAAUCCUGUGAGAGACCCACAAGGACAGAAACAGAAGUCUCCCACCCAGAACCUGCACCAGCACAGCCACAGAGUGAGCAGCCUUAUAGCCUUCACAUGACCGUGGCCCUGGCAAACAUCUGCAAACUUUCCCUUGAGAUCCUGAACCAGAAACACCCAGCUAAUUCCCAGCCUUCAGAAUCUGUGAGAUAGCUCAGGUUGAUUGUUCUUUAAGCCACUACAUUUUGGGAGUAAUUUGUUAUGCAGUGAUAGAUAACUAAUACAGCCUCUUUAAUUUAUCACAACACUGUUCUGGACUAGGUGUUACUAUCCCCAUUUUACUGACAAAGAAACUGAGAAUUACAUAGGUUAAUUUUUCCAGGGUCAGGGUAACUGGUAGAAGCAAAGCUGGGAGUUUGAUGUAGUUCUGUGCAUUUUUUGGCAGGGCAGUGGUAGUGGUGGUGGGGAGUUGAAACAGGGUCUCACUUUGUAAUUCAGACUAGAAUCGAACCAACUGUGUAACCCAGGCUGGCCUCAAACUCACAGCAAUCCUCCUGCCUCAGCCUCCUAAGUGCUGGGAUUAUAGAUGUGCGCCACCACACCCAGCCUGAUGUGGUUCUGCUUGCACACAAUCUUUCCCCUGAACAACUGCUUACUAUGCUACAUGUUAUAAGGGUCCACUUAGGAUUUCCAGAAUGCCUGGGAGCAGUGAAAAGACAAAUGUCCCUAAAUGAACUGAUUAUAAUGAGGGUUUCGUGCCAGAUUCAAAAUUAUAUAGAACCUACAGGCAACUGUUGACCUGUGCUCCAAAAUCCAAGCCAGUUUGAAACUCAAGUGCCUGGUUGUGUUUUGAGGACAGAGUCAGCUUACCCAGGACUGCCUGGCCACAGAACUCCCAAUGCAGGUACUCGGAGGAAAUAUGGCUUCUCACACCCCAGUAGAGUGAACAGCUGCACAACAAUUGCCUUUCCUGGGGCCUCACAACUUGAUGCUGUUUGUGGGUCCUGUAUUUUAAAGUUGUCUGAGGGCCUGGGACAAAGCUCAGUGGUAGAAUGGUUUCCUUUCAAGCACAAGACCUUAGGUUCAAAUUACAGAGAGCAAGGAUGUGGUCUCUGGCUUCUCAGAAGAAGGAGGGGCUCCAUGGCAAGGAACAUGGGGGUAGGGUUUGUUUGCCCUCAUCCUCUUUUCCCAAGAUGGGUCAGUUUGCAUUUAAUAACUCAGCUGUCUGCCUGUGUGUUGACAGCACCCACUUGUCAGCAAGAGAAUGAGGAAUGCACGUCAGGUAAGGGGCUUCUGAGGUAUCCUCUUGGACUAGCUGAGACUAACAUCUGUCUCAUUCCAGCCAGAGCUGGCACUGCAAGACCCAGCAGCCAUUAGAAGCCUGGUGGAAGUUCCUGUCUUGUCCAGUUGGCUAAGAACCCCAGGGAUGUGGGCAAGACAGAUGCCUGUCCUUGUCCCCCAGGCCUCCACUGCAUUCAUGGUGUUUGUCUGUCCUGGCCACCAUACAGGACCCAAUAAGUAAGUGAGCAAGGAAGAAGGAAACAGCCCCUUCAUUUCUCCUACCAGCUCCCUUAGACUUCUACUCCGUGACAGAUACCAGUACACCUCUGAGCUUAAAAUUUUGGCAUCAGUUUUGACUAUUCCCUCCCUUCAGCUCUUCAAACUGAACAAUUAUCCAGGGUCACUCAAACACUUAAAAUACCCCAGGAUGAUUUCUUCUAUUUAUUUAUUUAUUCUUUGUAUGGUGCUGAGGAUCAACCCAGGCCCCCGUGCAUUCCAGGCAAGUGUUCUACCACUGAGCUAACCCCAGCCCUCUCCAUCUCUACGUUGCUUUUAUAUCAUCACCCAGGUGGGCACCUGCACCCAAAACUCUAGCCCCUUUAGUAGGUCUGAACUACCUACUGCAAGGAUUCCACUUUAUAUUCAUCUAGCUGUCAAGACCCUGAAUACUUAAUUUCUCACAAGUCUUCACUGCCAGUCCUUCUGCACAUGCACACACUUGUCUGUUUUUGCACUGUGCCCUGCACCAUCACCCACUUCUUACUCUGACUACCUCCUUUGCAGGCUUGGUUGUGCUUUGUGGUCCUUUCUUGUUCUGUUUUAACACACCCUAUAUGGAAACCUCGCUCACCUCCUCAGGUACCAGUCCCCAGUGCUCUCUCCUUUCACCAUUUCUCCAGACCAUUCUCUUCAGCACUGGACAAACUACACCUCUGCAUAGGCAGAUUUUCUGGAUCCUGCAUGACUUGUUUUGCCUCUCGGCUUCUGCAUUCUCUUGGGCUCACUCAGCUUCUGACUCACAGGUGGGCCAGUCAGCAUGUAUCCGUGCAGUGCCCUUGCUGGGCUGAGCUCUCACAGCUCUGACUGGCCUGUAGAUCUAUGGGCGGCUGCUUUGGGUCAAGUGUUGAAUGCUGGAGUCAACCUAGCUUCAGCGAGAGACCCAGUCACCUGGCCCAAAGCAUGGGAACCUGUGAUAAAGAACUACUCUGGUGAUCCUCAGAAGGGGCUGAGAAUGGCAGAUACUUGAG